rnacentral:rRNA from 1 species
UACGUAGGGAGCAAGCGUUGUCCGGAAUCAUUGGGCGUAAAGCGCGCGUAGGUGGCCUCAUAAGUCCGCUGUGAAAGUCAAAAGGCUCAACCUUUGAAAGCCGGUGGAUACUUGUGAGGCUAGAGUACGGAAGAGGCGAGUGGAAUUCCUGGUGUAGCGGUGGAAUGCGCAGAUAUCAGGAGGAACACCAAUAGCGAAGGCAGCUCGCUGGGACGUUACUGACACUGAGGCGCGAAAGCGUGGGGAGCGAACAGG